UCUCUCUCUCUCGGCCGGCAACCCUGGUCACGCCGCCCCCAUCGCCAUCGUAGCCGCCGCCUUCUAUGCCGCAAUCAGCCCCGUCUUUCAAACCCAUCCCUCUGGAUCGCAGGCCCUCAUGGCGCCGCCAUCAAUCCCCUCUACUCUGGUGGUGCCUAUUCCGUCUUCCCGUCUUCCGCGAGGGGAUCCAGCGGACGCGCGGGAUGCGGGUGCCCGAUCCUCGCGCGACAUGCAGCGUGGAGUCUCCCAACGUCAUGCCGGAGCCCCAACACUGGAUCCAUUCUUCGAUCUCCCGUGCCGGUGGCCGAGGCAUGGCGAUGUGCCGAUGCAGCUCCUGAUCUCUUAACGGUAUGGGUAUGUUACUACCUCAAUUUCCGUCAGAUUUUUCUUGGAGUUGGUUGACACAGAGGCUAUCCAAUAAUGAUUUGCUCCCUUCCAAAAAGAAAGAAGAAAAAGAAUCCAGUAAGACCUAGGUGUGCCGCGGCCAUUGCGGGUCCGUCACCCGGACAGCGGGCUGUGCCAGUCCCCUCUUCUCAGCCGCUCGGCGUCAUAUGGGAAGGGGCUGAAGAGAAAGGAUGGCGGCGGAGUGUCUCAGGUGGGCGGGAAGAAGUGAGAAAAGGCAAGAGGAACCCAAGACAUGUUGCGGCGACCGGGUGAUGCAGGACUGGCAGAACCCUAGCUGGUGCCUGGUGGAGGCCGCCAUGAGAUCGUGCAGAGGGAGGUGGACAGGAGAAGGCCGACGGGUGUUUCAGUCAGUGCUACAGAAUCACCGCUGGUCUUUGCUCGCUGCCUCCUGCUUAGCAGCGUUACAGGGAACGACAACUCUGAAGCAUGGGGAAAAGCAAUGCCAGGAGCCUUGGUAUCUGGUGCAAGCUGGAGGAGCUGCCUAAAUGCAUGUGGAGAGGUUCAUAUUACUGAGCAGUGUAAUAUUCAGAACAUUUAGUGAUAAAUUAAAAUCUUCUCUUUGGAAUGUGGUUGAGUCGUUAAGAUCUGUUAAUUUCUAGACAUUAUCUCAGUAAUUAGUGUGCAAUUGAGCUUUAUGAUUCCCUCUUGGUGCAAGGAAUUUCUAGACAUGACGACAAUAUCUAUGUACGUCAACGGUUGCUUUGGUUUUACUUUUUUUACGAAGCAUAAGCCAGAAAGUCUUAUGGCAUAUGAAACACGAUUUUGGUUUAUAGUUGAGUUGCUUGAUGGAAGUCGUGGCAAUCUGAAUGAUAAGAAGCAAUUUUUCCCUCUGAUUAUUGUCAUGUAGCUUCAAAAGGUAUGGUUCUGAUGGUUAAAUUUUAUUUAAUCCCUUUUGGGGUCCCUACUGAAAAUUAUCAUCGUGUACGUUUUUGCUUCAUAGAGCUUUGAUAGCAUGCUUCGUUUAACUUUUAGCCCUGCGAUCAUCUAGAGUUGUUGGAGCGCAGUGGGCAAAGUUAUUACUUUUACUAUGCGGAGGUCCCAAAUAAUCUUCUUCCUAUGGUUCACAUGGUUCAUCUCGCGGGCAAGAGGAAUCAUUUAUUGUUUGAGACACAAUCUCUCUCUUAACAUUUUUUUCUUGUUGAUCAUAUUCAUAUGGCUAUAUGUUUUUUCUUGAGCACAUACAGUUGAACAUUAUACUAAUGUGUUUCUCUCAGUCUCCACACAUUACAAAGUUAGUGUCUGAAGUAAUCAUCUACUAUAACAAAGAAAUACCAGUUGAUGGUCGUGGAUUUCUGACUAGAUAUUUCAGCAGGCUGUCUAAUAUAUUUUUUGCCAAGCAGUACCCACAAUUCGGCACAUCCAAAUAUUAACUUCAUCGACUAAGUCUGUUUUGGCGUUCCACAUUUAAUGGAUAUGUCCCCACUUGAAUCUUGCUUCAUGGUCGUUCAAGCGUUCUCAACGACACAUUGCAAGAUUUAGUAUGUUGAUGAAAUGAUGGAUAUAUUCUUUAAAUCAAAUGGUUCUGGUCUCCAUAUGAUCCCACAAAAGUCUGGGCUAUUACUAGAUUGUUGCUUUCACUUAAAACAGCAGGCUCUUAAUUACUCUAAACAAAGUUUGAAAUUAGUCCAGUGGUGACCCAUGUGAAGCACUUAUAUGACAUAGGCUUGUCUUAAACAUAACUUGUUCGUUCAA